GUAAUAAAGAGAGAUGAACUGGUUCCAGGAAAAUUGCGCCAUGGCACAACACGUCGGCGCUGUUUGUCUUAACAGAUUUGAAUUCAGAAACUAUGAAAUGCUCGUUAGAUUUGUCAGGUAAGCUCAACAGUCAUUCAAUUUGUCCUUAUUAUCAUAAACAGUUGGUCUAAUAUCUAUUUUGGAGAAGAAAACACCAGGCUCGACCGGGAUUCGAACCCGGGACUUUCGCAAACCAUCCAGCUGUUCUAACCAACUGAGCUACCGAGCCUGGGUCAAUCUUGCUUGUCCACUAUAGGUACCUGUCAAGAAAUGAUCCAGGCUCAUCUUGACAUGAGCUCUCGUUGAUGUGGAGGUAAUAAAGAGAGAUGAACUGGUUCCAGGAAAAUUGCGCCAUGGCACAACACGUCGGCGCUGUUUGUCUUAACAGAUUUGAAUUCAGAAACUAUGAAAUGCUCGUUAGAUUUGUCAGUUGGUCUAAUGUCUAUUUUGGAGAAGAAAACACCAGGCUUGACCGGGAUUCGAACCCAGGACUUUCGCAAACCAUGCAACUGCUCUAACCAACUGAGCUACCGAGCCCGGGUCAACCUUGCUUGUCCUUUACCUGUACCUGUCAAGAAAUGAUCCAGGCUCAUCUUGACAUGAGCUCUCGUAGAAGUGGAGGUAAUAAAGAGGGGUGAAUUGGUUCCAGGUAAAUUGUGCCAUGGCACACCACGUCGGCGCUGUUUAUCUUAACAGUUUUGAUUUCAGAAACUAUGAAAUGCUCGUUAGAUUUGUCAGGUAAGUUCAACAGUCAUUCAUAUUGUCUUUAUUAUUGUAAACAGUUGGUCUAAUGUCUAUUUUGGAGAAGAAAACACCAGGCUUGACCGGGAUUCGAACCCAGGACUUUCGCAAACCAUGCAACUGCUCUAACCAACUGAGCUACCGAGCCCGGGUCAACCUUGCUUGUCCUUUACCUGUACCUGUCAAGAAAUGAUCCAGGCUCAUCUUGACAUGAGCUCUCGUAGAAGUGGAGGUAAUAAAGAGGGGUGAAUUGGUUCCAGGUAAAUUGUGCCAUGGCACACCACGUCGGCGCUGUUUAUCUUAACAGUUUUGAUUUCAGAAACUAUGAAAUGCUCGUUAGAUUUGUCAGGUAAGUUCAACAGUCAUUCAUAUUGUCUUUAUUAUUGUAAACAGUUGGUCUAAUGUCUAUUUUGGAGAAGAAAACACCAGGCUUGACCGGGAUUCGAACCCAGGACUUUCGCAAACCAUGCAACUGCUCUAACCAACUGAGCUACCGAGCCCGGGUCAACCUUGCUUGUCCUUUACCUGUACCUGUCAAGAAAUGAUCCAGGCUCAUCUUGACAUGAGCUCUCGUAGAAGUGGAGGUAAUAAAGAGGGGUGAAUUGGUUCCAGGUAAAUUGUGCCAUGGCACACCACGUCGGCGCUGUUUAUCUUAACAGUUUUGAUUUCAGAAACUAUGAAAUGCUCGUUAGAUUUGUCAGAUGGUCUAAUGUCUAUUUUGGAGAAGAAAACACCAGGCUCGAUCGGGAUUCGAACCCGGGACUUUCGCAAACCAUCCGACUGUUCUAACCAACUGAGCUACCGAGCCUGGGUCCAUCUUGCUUGUCCACUACAGGAACCUGUCAAGAAAUGAUCCAGUUUCAUCUCAACAUGAGCUCUUGUAGAUGUGGAGGUAAUAAAGAGAGAUGAACUGGUACCAGGUGCUGUUUGUCUUAACAGAUUUGAAUUCAGGAACUAUGAAAUGCUUGUUAGAUUUGUCAGCAGAGAUGAAGGUGUAUCUGCUUGAUUAUCAUCAUACUUAGGACGUCUAAACUCUUCAUCACAUCAGGACCACAAAAUCGCAGCCUCAGCACAGCAGAGAUGAAGGUAUGUCUCUUGGAUUAUCAUCCAACAUACUGAGGACAGCUAAUUUAAAAACUCAUCAUCACCAGCAAGAUUUACAAUGUCACAGCUUCAGCACAGCGGAGAUGAAGGUGUGUCUUCUGAAUUAUCAUCACACUUAGGACAGCUAAACUCGUCAUCACAUCAAGAUCUCCAGCAUCGCAGCCUCACCACAGGUGACCCUUUCCAUACAGCAUGGUGGCUUCUUGGGGAACUGACUCUACCUAUCUUGUAAUGGAUAAUACCUAUAGAAAAAGUAGGCAGUGAAAAACAGCAGCAAGAGCAGUGCAUUAUCUCAUCCAUGUGUAGAAUACAUGAUAUGUGGCAAGAUUAUAAACGUCAAAUGAUGUGCAAAGCCUGAUUUUAGACACCCAUUACAAGGAGGAAUCUGCAUCUGGUAUUGGUAGUAAGGAGAAAUCUUGAAUGGGUAUAUAUUGUUUCCAGAUGACAAUAAUAGGUAAUUUGUCUCCUCUUACACAACCAAACUCAAAUCAUAACAUAAAAUGCUUCAUUUGAUACUGAAAAAUAUUAUUGUAAUAUUGAAAAUUUUAUUUUUUGUCAUUCUCAAUGUUCUCCUAUCAAUUGCCAAUAAAUGACGCAGUCAACUGAUA